UAUCACAAGAGAUUGUAUCUUAAUUUCUGAUAAUCAUCUAGCUUAUGCUCAAGAUAUAUCAUCUUCUAGAAUCUAAAGAAAUACUUAUAAUUGAACCACUACUUUUCAAUAUUACUUGCACCACAAUCUUAAGUAAUUAUAACCCAAGUUCUCAUGCUACUUAAAUCAUAAUCUUAAAUGAUCAUAAACCUAAGCUCUGAUACCAAAUAUGUAACACCCCACCC
rnacentral:lncRNA from 1 species